UAUCAUGUGACUGUGUACAGUGUUUGCUGCUUGAGAGGGGUGAGGGGUAGGGGGGUGGCUGGCUGUCAGUCAGGGUGCAAAUCAAAUUAAGGAAAGAUUAAAAAGAAUAAGAUUAAAUAAAGUAAAAUAAAUAGAAAUAGGUAGAUAGAUAGAAGUAAAAGAAUGAUGCUAAAAUGGUGGUGUUUAAUAGGGUAAUGGAUAAAAAGACGAUGUCUUAAAAGAGAAUGAUGGAUACAAUUUUCCACUAUUCCACUAUUGAGGAACUAGGAACUUCUGUCAUUAGUUGAUGUGACAGUCGAGCUAGUUACGGGGGGCACCUGGAGUUCAAGGCUAACGGCCGUCCAUGCUAACUGCUAGCGUCAUGUUUCGGCGUGUUCACGUAAAAAAAUGGAGAGCGGUGAGCGGUUUCAAAGACAUCGGUCCUCAUCCCCAGGUUUUAAGCUUCUACCAGAAUAUUGUGAUAUGAAGUUUGGAGGAUAAGACAAAAUGGUGUACACCAGCCACUGGGUUGAGCUUUUUCACCUGUCUAAUGCUACUGGGAGGAGAUGGAGUUCGAAUCGGCAGUUGACUUCUGAUCUGAUGGUGAGAGGUUUUCCUUGGACCAGUUUGUCUGUUUAUCCUGGGUCGAGGGGGCUUUGGGGGCUCCGGCCUUGGCUCUGUGGCCUCCCUGGACCUCUCCACAUUCGCCUUCCCCUGUCGAGACAGUCUGGAGGGAACAGACGGACAGCAGCAACAUUAUAUACAUGGUGCAGUGUCAGCAACUUGCAGUGUCAUCAUCAGGACUUGCAUGCCAACAGCACCAAGAGAGGGGAGGAGAGGAGCUACAGUAAAAAAAGAAGACCUUCCUGAAACAUUCCUGUGCAAGUCCAACAUCCAGACUAGCAACAUCUGCAGACACAGGCCCUCCCCCUCCACCUCCUCACCCACCCACCUGCUGUCCCUGCUCUCUCUCCUCCCUUCAGCCGACCCAACACGUCACGAUUGUGCUGAAGGUGACGCAGAGGAGCUCUGAGUGGCGAAGAAGUCCUCAGCUGUGAGAUAUUAACUGAUUAAGCACUGAUACAAGGGGAAAUAAUAGGGAUUGUGACUUUAUUAUGUUAGGCUAUUAAUCUGCUAUCACAUGUCAUCUGUAGGGACUUGGCCUCAGUGGAGUAAUCUGCUGGGUAAGGCACACACACACACACACACACGAACACACACAUACACACACACAAUAGUGCUGGGAAGUCCCCAGUAAGUCACACAAUCGGUUAAUUGUAAUUUCUUGCUACUGUAAUUAUUCAACUGUGUGGUGAUAAUUACUAGACCAUAGAAUGGGAGCAGAAUCUGUCAGGAUACUGUAAUUAUUUUACACAUGUUGUAUUUGGAGUAUUAGUACUGUAUAAUAUUGGAUAAACAACUCUUUCCCCCUCCUCUCCUCACCUCGGAUGUAAUUCUCCCAUUUUUUUUAGCAGCGGUUUUGUCUGUUAGUUGGUCCACCUCUUUGGUCCAGAUUGAAAUAUCUCAACAGCUAUUGGACGGAUUUUCAUGACCUUUUGUACAGACAUUCAUUCAUGGUGCCCCAAAGGAUGAAUCCUGACUUUAUGAUGGUGAUCUCUAGCGCCACCAACAGGUCAAAGUUUUCUUUUAUCCAGUGAAAUAUCUCAGUAUUCAUUAAAUGGAUUGCCAUAACAUUUGGUACAGACAUUGAUGGUUCCUAGAGGAUUAAUCCUAAUGAAUUUGGUGAUCACCACAACUUUUCCUCUUGUGCCACCACCAGGGAGACAUUGGAUUUUUUUAGUGACAUUUCAUGACAGCUAUUAGAGGAAUUGUCAUCAAAUUUGGUUUGGACAUUCAUGCUUCACUCAGGAUGAAUUGUAAUAACAACACGUUCUCAUCCCAACUCAUCACAUACUGUCGCUUUGUCACACCCCGCCCCUUAGCGUCUUGCCCCUUGGUGUCACUUUAGGGUUUGGCAACAAAACCACUUAGUUAGGUU